UUCUGUCUCCCUUCAUUCUGACAUACAGUCGCUGGCAGCGCUCUGCAGGGAAACAGCAAAUUGCACCUUUUCUUCUCGAAUACAGGAUUUUUUUACCACCUACUGCACCGUCUCUAGUUGUCCCGAGGAUCGAUGGUGGUUAUUGCAGAUUAAACAAUUUAAGCAUGUGAACGUACCGUCUGUAUCUUUAACCGAAGGACUCCUUUGCUGAGUGACAUUAACUUGACACCUGUAGGGAUCGCCCUGUGCUGGAAAGAAAGCUCUCAUGUCCCCUGAUGAUAACAACGGCACAAUGCAGUGCAAUGAAUUACUGCACCAGUGGGAAGGAAGCAGCCCAAGAAGCCAUACGCAAUGACUCAUAUCGCCUGCUUCAGCAUGGUAGCGUGAAUCUGAUGAUCAGAGCUGGGAAUCUGUCAUAGAGUUCAGUGUUUGCAUUUUAAUUGGUUCAUUGAGAGAGAAAAGAAAAAAAGAAACAAACAAACAAAUGAUCCAGGCUAGAAAGAAAUAUCCGAUGGAUAUCCACCAUACUGACUGUGCUUGCGUCUGAGAA